rnacentral:rRNA from 1 species
AGAGUUUGAUCCUGGCUCAGAUUGAACGCUGGCGGCAUGCCUUACACAUGCAAGUCGAACGGUAACAGGCCGCAAGGUGCUGACGAGUGGCGAACGGGUGAGUAAUGCAUCGGAACGUGCCCAGUCGUGGGGGAUAACUGCUCGAAAGAGCAGCUAAUACCGCAUACGACCUGAGGGUGAAAGCGGGGGACCGUAAGGCC